GCAGACACAUUCCAGCCAAUCAGCAGCAAACCCUCCCUCCCAGACCCUCCCACCUCCUGGACAGCUCACUAAGAAUGCAGCUUCAAAAUGGAUGCUGUCCAGGAGGUGGGAGGGUCUGGGAGGGAGGGUCUGCUGCUGAUUGGCUGGAAUGUGUCUG